ACUUUGCAGUCACUGAUCUCCUUCAGAUUACACCAUCUACACAAGAUGUAGUCUACCUGUGUGCUCCUACCUCCACUCUUAUAGGUCACCCUAUGUUCCUGCCUCUUCUGGAAGAAAGUAUUCACUACAGCCAUUUCCAUCCUUUUUGCAAAGUCAACCACCAUCUGUCCUUCUGCGUUCCUCUCCUGGAUACCAAACCUGCCCAUGACCUCCUCAUCAUCUCUGUUUCCUGCACCAACAUGUCCAUUGAAGUCUGCACCAAUGACAACUCUCUCACUUCUAGGGAUGCUCUGCAUCACUUCAUCAAGGUCCAACCAGAAUUUCUCCUUCUCCUCCAGCUCACAUCCUACCUGUGGAGCCUACCCACUAACAACACUGAACAUCACACCUUCGAUUUCUAGCUUCAGGCUCAUCACUCGAUCUGACGCUCUUUUUACCUCCAGGACAUUCCUAACAAACUCUUCCUUCAAGAUAACUCCUACUCCAUUUCUCUUCCUAUCUACACAAUGAUAGAACAACUUGAACCCUGCUCCUAAACUUCUAGCUUUACUACCUUUCCACCUGGUCUCCUGGACACACAGUAUGUCCACCUUCCUCCUCUGUAUCAUGUCAACCAGCUCUCUACCUUUUCUUGUCAUAGUUCCAACAUUCAAAGUCCCUACUCUCAGUCCUAGACUCUUGGUGUUCCUCUUCUCUCUCUUCCUACGAGCACCCCUUCCUCCUCUCCUUCUUCGACCAACAGUAGUCCAUUUUCCACCGGCACCCUGUAGGUCAACAGCACCGAUGGCGGUCAUUGUUAACCCGGGUCUCGACCGAUCCGGUAUGGAAGUCAUACAUUUGAUUUGCAUAUUUGAUUUGGCCAAAGUUUUACGUCAGAUGCCCUUCCUGCCACAACCCUCUGUAUUUAUCCGGGCUUGAGACCGGCACAAUAAGGCACUGGCUUGUGUCCCCUUGCGGCUACAUUACUGUAAUGGUGUCCACUUCGUGUAAAUUUAAUCAGUAGAGACUUAUUUAUGACACAAGGCUUUCAAGUGUUGAUAAGACUUGCAGUGGAUGAACUAAAUGGUAACUGCUCAUAAGGGACAAUAUAAGAAGUAAAAACAAACAUACCUGCAACGACACAGCAACAGUUUUAUUGAUCAGCAUCAACCUGACAAUCUGUUGGUUCGUGAAUUUUUCACAAAGUUGUUCAACAAAGAUCUGAGAGCUGAAGUUUGGAGGAUAGAAGCCAAGUAUCAAACUAAGGCUUAAAUCUGAGUUCAAACAGUCAUGAGCAGCAUCAGGAACUCCAAAACCACAGAGAAUCAUCACAUUUUGAACAUGAUCUGACAUGAAACUUAACCAGGUUUGUAGUUUAUUAAGAGGUUAUUUAAGAAUGAGGCAGAGUUUGGAGAGAAAGUGUUUGAAAUCUGAAGGUAAAAUGAAGAAAUAAUGUUUUCUACUGAUGAAAGACAAGAAAGUAACUCGAUAUGUUUGGCAUUUUUUCUGAAGAGGAACCUGGCAGAGGCUUUGACGUGAUCUUGAGUUGAAAGCAAAAACAUUUAAGUCUCACAUUUUGACCUGAUGAAAUCCAAGAGCAACAGAAAAAAAAGAAGACGGCAACAGGAAGACAUCACACAGGAACACAGUGUGAAUGUUUAACUAAUAAGUCUGAAAAGAAGUCAUUCUUAGCUGUGGAAAACACAGAAUGGUUUAAAGACCAAAUAUCCAAAAGCUACAUCGCUGAAAAGAAUUGAACUGAACUUCAGUUUUGAGAUUUACAUCAAGCAGGAGCUACUGGAGAGAUUUUAGAGGGAAAUUAUGACAUCUGAAAGAAAAAUGAUCCUCUCAGACACUCUAAAUCAAAGGUAAUAGUGUAAUUCAAUGCUAACAGCUAACACACCGAUGAUAGCAGUAAGCUAGCUAGCAACAGAUCUGUGCUGAAACAACUCGUGAGGAUUCAUGCAUGUAAACUGACAUUUCUACUGGAUCUAAAUCAGUAUCCAGAUCAUUUCAGGACUGAAGGACAUUUGGGUUUCAAAAGUUUUGAAAAAUAAACUCUCUUUUCCAGUUUUCAGCUCCAUGUUGAUCAAUAAUAGGUAAUAAGCUAUCAAAGGCUUGAUCAGCUCAGCUUACACAUCAAUGGUACCAUUUUUAUUCCAUGUUUUCUGUGUUGUUUGCUAACCCUACUCUGAUUACAGUAACAGAGUUGCUAAUCCAUGCUAAUGUUAGCUUUUUCUCAGCAGUAGAAGCUAGAUAUUUAGCUAGCUGUUACUGCUGACCAAAAGGACAAACUGACUGAUGGAAAACAGUAAAAAGAAUGAGUCUGAUCCUGAUAAUAUGAGGUAGAGUGAGACAUUCAUUCAAAGCUGUCAAUGGGAUGAAAAUAAGAAGAAUAGAAGAGAGGAUGUAGCUUUGCUCUACCCAUUCUUUAGGAACACUGUUUGAUGAUGGAAACAACAAAAACAAAACACAAAAGACAAAAAGACACAAAACGACUGAAAUUAAACACAAAAAGACAAACGUAAGAUUUAAAAUGACAAAAACAAAACACAAAAACUCGACACAAAAUGAAAAAAACAAGACAUAAACUGACAAAAUCAAGACAACAAAACGACUAAAACGAGACAUAAAAUGACAAAACCAAGACACAAAACGACAAAAACUACAGGUUAUGCUAACAUAUUGUGGGGCACACGUUCCAUUCAUAAUAACUGUUAUUUAAAAUAUUAAGCUCAUUGAAAAAGAGACCUCAAUGAAAGGAAAUAAUACUAAAAAGAGCAGAUUUAAAUUUAAUUUGAACAGUUUUAUUAGAGAUUCAGUUUGGUCAUCAGGGGGUGGAACAAAAGGAAAACUACAUUUUAGAUGUAACUCCAGACUUAUUUGGUAUUUUAAAAACAUUUUCAAACAUUCUUUUCUCCUAGUUUUCUUUACAUUUGAUCACAAGACAAGAACAUUUCCACAACAACUGCAUGUUGGUAUUUUUUACAUGGAUUAUUUGGGAUUUGAUGAGUGGGACGUAAAUGUCCUCCAGUUCUGCAUAAAUUCUCUUUUUUUCUAGCGUUGAGUGUUGACGGUGACCAACAGGACAGGUCGACUCUAACAGGGCUCCACUUCUAGCGUGUUGUUUACACCUUUGUUUUGCAGCCUGGUUCUGUCCCAGCUCAUUACAGAAAGCGCCUUUAGGAACAGUUGUUCUAAUUAUCAACCUGCCUGGCCAAUUCACAGGAGACGUGUAGCGUUACGCCGUGCAGCCGCCACGUUGUCCACAGCAAUUAUCAGUGUCAGGGACGUCCAUGUCUGUGAACAAAGUGUGAACGAGAAGAAGAGACGGAGCAGCUUCUAGUGUGGCUGGUGGGCAGCCAUUGCUUUUUAAUGAGAAAACAGGAACAGUUUAGAGAUUAGAGGGUGUUUGGUUGUUCCCCAAAAGUCAAAAACAAGUUCUUAAUUUCUCUGGAUGGGAUGAUUUUUCCAGUCUGUGGCGGUGGAAGGUCAUUCAGAUCUCCUCAAGAGCAUGGAUGUAAUUAGAGGCUUUUAAGACACCUUUAGGGCAACAUCUGGCUUCAGCUGUGGUACAAAUGUUCAGAAAGUUUCAUAAAGGUGUUGAAUCGGGUCAGUAAACUUCAUCACAAAGUUAAUUUGGACCUUCCGUGGUCUUAGGUGGCAGGUUUACUUGGUAUAAAAGGAUUCAUCCUCUGAGGAAAAAGUCAUUUUCAGGGAAAUUCUUGGAGAUACAAUACUACUAAUUUGGGAUCACCUACACAAUUUCAUGUUUUCCAUGAAAACUCCCACUUUUAUCCAUGUGCUAACAUAACUGUACAAGGGUUUUCUAAUCAUCAAUGAGCCUUUCAACACCAUUAGCUAACCCAAUGUAGCAUUAGAACUCAGGAAAUGUUCCUCUGUACCCCUAUGGAGAUAUUCCAUUAAAAAUCAGCCGUUUACAGUUAUUAUAGUCAUUUACCACAUUAACAAUGUCUACACUGGACUUAUCAUUCAUUUAAUGUUACCGUCAUUGAAAAAAAAUGCUUUUCUUUCAACAAUAUGGAUAUUUCUAAAUGACCUCAAACUUUAAAUGGUACUGUAUAAUAAUUAUUCAGUGAAUGCUGCUAAUAAUUUAACCAAUUAAAAACAAAUGAAUCGAUAAGGCAGAAGAAGAAGGUUGUGCAUGUCAGUAAAUGUGUUGUAAAUCGGAUGUAGUACAUCUUACUGUUUAAUUAGGUGUCUUUUUGACUGUUGUUUGUUUAGCAUGUAGCAUUUUGUGGGAGUUUACCUAGCAACGGGCACCAUGACAGUCACCUCUGAGACGGUUAAUGACCUCUAAACCAAACUCACAGGUUCAAGAUGAGCUCAGAUUUCCAGGGAAUGCAGCCACUAAUCUGAAUACAGAUGCUCUUCACUGGUUUUCAUUGGUGUUAACUACUAUUUGAUGGAUUGCUUGAUAAUGCUGUGAAAUUUGCACAUCUAGUAUGAAAAUCUUAGAAUUCAGGCAAAAUAUUUUACAGAACUUUAUUUGGGGUCCCAAAUAGAGAUGUCAGCAAAUUGAUUUUUAUUAAGUAAUCAAAUUAAAACUUGUUUUUGAUUGAAUUUUUCAGUGUUCUUUGUCUCAAACUGUUCAGGCCCUAAGAUACGUGACAUUUGUACAUUUCUUGUUAAAUUGCAAAUAAAUAUUAGUAGAAACAACCUAUUUUUUUAUGUAUAAUCAACUUAAAAACUGUUUUUCGAUUAAACUUCAGCAUUUUUUAUUUUUUUUAGCUUUUAGUGUUGAUUUCAAACAACAUGAAGACACACAGGGAAACAGUGUGGUUCUUAGUGGACGAUGGUGCAGAAGACCUUAACUGAGUAAAAACUUGUUUUGUGAACAUUGGUAUCUUUGUUUACAGCCAUCUGUGGUCCUCUGGAGGUGCUGAGGAGAGAAACGUUCAGCUCUUAUUUAUCAGAAUCCAGAUUUAAAAGCAGAUACUGCAGGAACUUUCAGGUUCAGUGGCUGCAGACAAACUGCUGGCUUCCUUCGAGCUCCUCUGACUCAUUACCGAACAAAACGCUGAAAAUAAACACACCAGCGACACUAUAAAUAUCAGCUAAACAGCUCCGGACCUGCUGACCUCAUUCGUCACAGAUCAGCCUCCAGCGUUCUUCCACCUGAACACAAUCUUUUUCUGACCGGCCGUCGCUUCCAUGACGAGAGAAGCUUCCAGAUCCAGAGGUCUCUCUCCAUCAGAGUCAUAAAAACCUCCUCUGCCCUCAGGAGGUUUCGACCAUCAGACGUGUUUUUUCCUUUACAUGGUCAACUUUGUCAACUGAAAGAACGUUGGAAACAGCAGAUUAGUAAGGACUUGAGUCAGAAAGAGUUUGACAUCGAUCUUCUUUGUGCACAAAUUUGCAAAACUUUCAAGUUUGAUGAUAAAAUAAGAUCAGAUCAGCCCCAAUUGAUGCCGUAGUGGGAGGUUUACAGAGCUGCAAAAAUGAAGAAAUGUUGCACAAAAAUAAGAAUGAACCAAAAUAUACAUAAUAUAUGUAUAUGUCUUCGUUCCUUCCUUUUCUUUCUUCCUUCCUUUGAUCCUUCCUUCCUUUGAUCGUUUCUUCCUUCCUUCCAUCCUUCUUUUGUUUGUUCAAUCCUUCUUUCCUUCCUUCCUUCCUUCAGUCCUUCUUUCCUUUCUUCCUUCCUUCCUUCCUUCAGUCCUUCUUUCCUUCCUUCCUUCAGUCCUUCCUUCCUUGAGUCCUUCUUUAGUUCUUUCCUUCAUUAUUUCUUUCCUUUCUUCCUUUAUACGUUUGUUCAUUCGUUUGAUCCUUUCUUUCUUCCUUCAUUCCUUUGUUUAUUCCUUCCUAUGUUAGCUCCUUCCUUCCUUCCUUCCUUCCUUUGUUAAUUCAUUCGUUCAGAUGUGACGUUCAGGCGUCCUGAAGUUUAGGCACCCUGAUGUGAAGUUCAGGCAUCCUGACGUGACGUUCAGGGACCUGACGUGAUGUUCAGAUUUCCCGACGUGCCGUUGAGAUGUCCUGACGUGAUGUUCAGGGACCUGAUGUGAUGUUCAGGCGUCCUGACGUGAUGUUCAGGUGUCCUGAUGUAACGUUCAGGCGCCCUGAUGUAACGUUCAGGUGCCCUGAUGUGACGUUCAGGCGACCUGAUGUGACGUUCAGGUGUCCUGAUGUGACGUUCAGGUGCCCUGAUGUGACGUUCAGGUGCCCUGAUGUGACGUUCAGGUGCCCUGAUGUGACGUUCAGGUGUCCCGAUGUGACGUUCAGGCGACCUGAUGUGACGUUCAGGCGACCUGACGUGAUGUUCAGGGACCUGAUGUGACAUUCAGGCUCCCUGAUGUGAUGUUCAGGGACCUGACAUGAUGUUCAGGCGUCCCAAUUUGAUGUUGAGGCAUCCUGACGUGACGUUCAGGGACCUGAUAUGACGUUGAGGCAUCCUGAUAUGACGUUCAGGCGCUCUGACGUGACGUUCAGGCGCUCUGAUGUGACGUUCA